ACGAUGAUACCGGCGCAGCGGCCGACGCGUAACCGACGAUCAACCGCCACGUAAUCGAUCUUCUUCGAGACAACUCCGCGCAACAAAGUCGUAAUCGAUGGCACGCCGCGAUUCUCCAAUUUCCCCGCUGCGUUCCGACAGGUCCUCAUUCUAUCGACCGUUCUGUAUCGUGCGUUUUACGAGAACCAACUAAGCAGGCCCAAUUAAUUCGAUU